rnacentral:lncRNA from 1 species
GCGAAAAUCGUGAUGAGGCCACAACAUUCAACGUGAUUGGUUGUAGCAUCUCCACCUAUUAGAAGCCUGUAGUAGUUAUGUUGCUGGCCCAUAUAGCCCAUAUAGCACAUGAAUUGUAGUAAUUUAUGGGGUUUAGUACCAUCUUGGAAGUUUGAGGGUGAGAGUUAGCUUAUAAUCCAUGUCGUUUUAAACGUAGCGCCUCUGGAUUAACCCUUUUGCACAAAGUGAGGACGAAAGUCUAAGAGAGGUGCUACGCAUAUGCGGGCCCAU